rnacentral:misc_RNA from 1 species
AGCAGCCGCGGUAAUUCCAGCUCCAAUAGCGUAUAUUAAAGUUGCUGCAGUUAAAAAGCUCGUAGUUGAAUUUCGGGACUAAUAUGUCGGUCGUGCCUCGGUACGUACUGGUUUAUUGGUUUCUCCUUUCUGAAGAACCAUGAUGUCAUUUAUUUGGUGUCGUGGGGAAUCAGGACUGUUACUUUGAAAAAUUAGAGUGUUUAAAGCAGGCUCACGCUUGAAUACAUUAGCAUGGAGUAAUGAAAUAGGACGUUUGAUUCUAUUUUGUUGGUUUCUAGGAUCGACGUAAUGAUUAAUAGGGAUAGUUGGGGGCAUUAGUAUUCAAUUGUCAGAGGUGAAAUUCUUGGAUUUAUUGAAGACUAACUACUGCGAAAGCAUUUGCCAAGGAUGUUUUCAUUAAUCAAGAGCGAAAGUUAGGGGAUCGAAGACGAUCAGAUACCGUCGUAGUCUUAACCAUAAACUAUGCCGACUAGGGAUCGGAUGAUGUUAAUUUUUAAUGUACUCAUUCGGCGCCUUAAC